CUGGAUUUGGCUUUUCUAAGCAACAUGUGUUCCUGCGCAGGGCUGAAUGGUCGCUGAGACAGAGAUGGAAGCCAGGGCAUGGGAGCCCACCUGGCCCAGAUAGAGACUUCGGAACCCACUCCUGAGAACAGCGGAGCCAGGUGCUCAGAGGAAGACCAAAUGCUGCCAGGACACGGAUUGUCCAGGGAUUACAUUCCAGCAUCUUAUUAGAGAGGGGGUUUGCUACAUUGCCCAGACUGGUCUCAAACCCCUGGGUUCGGUUGUCCUGCCUCGGCCUCCCAAAGUGCUGCGAUUACAGGCAUGAGCCACCACACCCGAACACUUGGGGUGAUUUUAAGCCCCCAGCAAGGUGCACCAGCAGGACCAGGAGGUGGCCUGUGCACCCCCUAUCACUCCCAUCCAUGCAAACCUAG